GAAACGACUGCUAAUACCGCAUAAGCGCACAGCUUCGCAUGAAGCAGUGUGAAAAACUCCGGUGGUACAAGAUGGACCCGCGUCUGAUUAGCUGGUUGGUGAGGUAACGGCCCACCAAGGCGACGAUCAGUAGCCGGCCUGAGAGGGUGAACGGCCACAUUGGGACUGAGACACGGCCCAAACUCCUACGGGAGGCAGCAGUGGGGAAUAUUGCACAAUGGGGGAAACCCUGAUGCAGCAACGCCGCGUGAGUGAAGAAGUAUUUCGGUAUGUAAAGCUCUAUCAGCAGGAAAGAAAAUGACGGUACCUGACUAAGAAGCCCCGGCUAACUACGUGCCAGCAGCCGCGGUAAUACGUAGGGGGCAAGCGUUAUCCGGAUUUACUGGGUGUAAAGGGAGCGUAGACGGUUUUGCAAGUCUGAAGUGAAAGCCCGGGGCUUAACCCCGGGACUGCUUUGGAAACUGUAGAACUAGAGUGCAGGAGAGGUAAGUGGAAUUCCUAGUGUAGCGGUGAAAUGCGUAGAUAUUAGGAGGAACACCAGUGGCGAAGGCGGCUUACUGGACUGUAACUGACGUUGAGGCUCGAAAGCGUGGGGAGCAAACAGGAUUAGAUACCCUGGUAGUCCACGCCGUAAACGAUGAUUACUAGGUGUUGGUGGGUAAGACCCAUCGGUGCC
rnacentral:rRNA from 1 species